ACGGAGGGUGCGAGCGUUAAUCGGAAUCACUGGGCGUAAAGCGCACGUAGGCGGUGUCGUAAGUCGGAUGUGAAAGCCCUCGGCUCAACCGGGGAACUGCAUUCGAUACUGCGACGCUUGAGUGCCGGAGAGGGUGGCGGAAUUCCAGGUGGGGGAGGGAAAGCCGGGGAUAUCUGGAGGAGGAGCAGAGGCGAGGGCGGCCAACAGGACGGCAACUGAGGCUGAGGCGCGAAAGUGUGGGGUUCUAGCAG
rnacentral:rRNA from 1 species